CUGUUUUGUUUCUGUUUCAGGGCAGGCUGCCGAGAGAGCUCUGGAGCCAGGCGAUCAUCAUCGUCACCCUGUUCUCCUACAACUCAAAGCCAGUCACCCAACAGGUACAAAAGGUCUGUCAGUGGAAAGAAACUCUGCUCUAGCUGUGGACAGCCUCUUGGGAAAGGCGCUGCCAUGAUUAUCGAGACACUCGGUCUUUAUUUCCAUAUUCAGUGCUUCAGGUGUGGAAUCUGCAAGGGACAACUUGGAGAUGCAGCAAGCGGAACAGAUGUCCGGAUUAGAAGUGGUCUUCUCAACUGCAAUGAUUGUUACAUCAGAUCCAGAACCGCUGGUCAGCCCACGACUUUGUGACAUGGAUUUCAGUCUUGUGUGCAAAUGUGUUCUCCAAGAAGGAUUGUCACUGUUGUUCUGUUCCUGGGGCUGCUUCGGGACAAUCACUUGUAAGAGCUUAUAUCCAUGGACUUGAUAGCUCUCAUCUCAUCUUUGCAAGGCUAGCACAAAAGGCUACAUCGGCUACUUUCCAAUGCAAUACAUAUUCCACCCCCCACCCCACCCCCUUCUUAAUUCACUUACAUUACAUGUAUGAAGUUCACUUCUGGACUUUCAGCUCCUUUUCCCCUCUCGCAAGAGCGUGCGUGUUCCAUAUUAUCAGUUACAUUUGGUUUCCGAGUCUGCUCUUACGAAAGUAACAAGGAAAUAAAGAUGCAAUAAACCUG